rnacentral:lncRNA from 1 species
UUCCCUGCCACAAACCCAGUUCUGCGUACAGUGUUAGGAGCUACUAUUUCUCUGACGUGAUGGGGAACCUUAACUCGAUUAAAGGCCUUUAGGUCUCUCUUCUCUUCAAGAGAAAGCUGUUUUAUCUGUUAGGAGUGUCUGCAAGCAAUCCCUUUUAGCGGGAACCCUUCAGGUCUCGUAGGAAGGAAGCAAGCAUCAGGUAUUUGAAGGGAAUGAGAAUCUCUGACUUCAUGAUUGUAUUUGAAGCUGUCUGUGCCCUGCAGGAUGUCCGUCACCGUGGUGCAGCCACUUCUACAGUGACCGGUGACGCGUGUAUUGCUUUUUGUUUUGAUUUGUUCUUCCUACCAGAGGCAACCCUUUUUUUUGACAUUUGUUGUUGCCCUAUCUUCUCCCCCUUUUGUUCUUGUUUGUUAAAUACUUGAUAAAUUGAGAAGCACAUCAUCAGGAAAUGCUGUACUGUUAACUUUCUUCCCGUUCGUUCCCGGUAACCUUCUGGUCUACCUGGAUGAGAGCGUCCUGCAGGCCACCGGACUUGUUUUGGCUUUAGAAAUAAAUGUCACAUCGUGAAGAAAUACCUCAAUAAUGUCUAUUUAAAAAAAAAAAAAACUGGUGUUACGGGUUACCAAUGCAGCCUGGAGGGCUGUCUUUCAUCAUCAUUUAACCAGUCAUGGUUCUAAAUGUUUUUGUGUAUCUGCAUGGUCUUAGACCCCUUUUAAUGAUUGUAUUAACUCAGGAGCUCAGGUCGUAUCUUACUUAAGGCUAUCUCAGAGCACACUGGCUGAAUGUUGGCGCCCCUGGCAGUGACGCAUUUACUUUGGCAGAAACCAGCAUUGUGAUGGUUCUUCUUCGUGUUUCUAGCAGUCUGUAGCUGUCCUCCUUUAGAGGGAGGCUGUUCACAUGUAUGGGUGGGGCUUUCCUUGUGUUUAGGGUGGUAAAUGUCUUUCCCUCCUCCCCUCUUGAUGUCUGUGCCAGUGUGGGCGGGUGGUUUAACGAUGUUUAACUAGCGUGUUACAUGUAGUUGUGGGUGGGAGGGUUGUUCGGUUUUGUUUCAAUGGAUCUUGUUUGAUACAGUCCAUUAGCUCUCUCAUGCCUGGUCAGCCAAAAAGAGGAGGAGGAGGAGGUAAAGGAGGAGGAGAAGCUUUAAUUUUUAUGUAACUGUAGAAUACAAGACCCACUUGGGUCUUUUUGUUUUGUUUAAGAAAAGUUGAAUGCAUACCUUUCUGGGUGGAACUCACAGAGGCGUGUUGUCGACCGCUAGAAGGACUGAGUUCAGUGUCUUGAGCUCGACCAGCUGAUUGAAGGAACGCGCUGCCUCCCCUGGCAUCAGGGCCCUCGCCGCCAGCCCUCAGCUGCCUCUGCCACCUUUGGGAUUGUGACUUAGGAGCUCGUCAAGGCUGUGGUGGCUUUGGGGAUCCCCUCCCCCCACCCAAACCUCAAGGCAAAAGUGUAUUUUUUUUUCAUUAUUAUUUUUGCAAAGUUCUCUUCCCACCCACCCCCACCCUCACCCCUCUCCUAGCCCUGGCUUUUACCUUUAAAACCUUAAAUGUUAACUAUUUCCAGCCUCAGGCAUGACAGGCAGUGAGCAGGUGAGGAGCGGGUGGGAAAGCGUUCCGAACCUCCUGUGAGCUAACAGGCUUCUGAAUGUAUCUGUGGUCCACAGAGAAGGCUGCGGGGAGUAGCAAGGAGAUGCUGUUUCAGCUACUGCAGCCUUAAAACAAAGCCGCUGUCUCUUUGGACUUUAAAAUUGUUCCUAUGCAGCUUAUUUUAUUUUUGUUUAAUCAAAUAAACAGAGGGUUUUCCCACGAAAA